rnacentral:rRNA from 1 species
GACGAACCGUGCGAACGUUGUUCGGAAUCAUUGGGCGUAAAGCGCGCGUAGGUGGCCCCAUAAGUCCGCUGUGAAAGUCAAAGGCUCAACCUUUGAAAGCCGGUGGAUACUGUGGGACUAGAGUACGGAAGAGGCGAGUGGAAUUCCUGGUGUAGCGGUGAAAUGCGCAGAUAUCAGGAGGAACACCAAUUGCGAAGGCAGCUCGCUGGGACGUUACUGACGCUGAGACGCGAAAGCGUGGGGAGCAAACAGG